AUCAAUAGCUUUCCUCUGGGGUUAUUUGUUUUGGAAGUUAUUCCACUUUAAGGAUGAAGAUGAGAAUGGAGCACUUACUAUUCCUUAAUGGCUGAGAUCCGAUGUAAUUUCUGGACAUGACCAUUGGUGGCUCAAGAAGUGGCUCAUUGAGGAGAUGAACUUUAAGGGUCUUGAAAAAGGCUGACCCCUGGAAUGAAGAAUCAGCCUCUCGGCUUCUGUACCAAGAUGGGGAUUAGUCC
rnacentral:lncRNA from 1 species